GUGUUCGCUUCAGCAGCACACAUACUAAAAUUGGAAGGAUACAGAAAGAUUAGCAUGGCCUCUGCACAAGGAUGAGACAAAUUCAUGAAGCAUCCCAUACUCUU